ACCUGGGAUAGCUCAGGUGGUAGAGCGUGAGACUCUUAAUCCCAGGGUUAUGGAUUCGAGCCACACAUUGGGCA